rnacentral:lncRNA from 1 species
GCUCAGAACUCUGAUGGGCUUCAGAGUGGAAUGGGAUCACUUAUCAAAUUGGCAACAGGCCCUCUCUGGCCAUCUCUGUAUAGUUUGACCCAAUGAGUUUGGUUCUCCCUUCUUUGUCAAUUCCCCUGUCUCCUGAAUGUCUCAUUCUCAAACUCAUUUUGCUUGAAAUUGUGGUGGGAGAUGGUAUGUUUGAAACUUAAUAUGCUGAACACAGAACAGAGUAUCUGCCUGAUCUCUUCUAUGAAAGUGAGUGAAGAAAGACACAAGAAAUUGAUUUCUAGGCGGUAAACCAGGAGAAAGAAUCCUGAGAAGAUUUGAGAGGAAAUGAACUUAUUGUUUGUUUGUUUUCACAAAGGAAGAAAUGUUGUGAAUUCAAGACAGAGCAUUGUUUCCUGCCAGAGUCUUUCUGGAAAAGGCAGUAGUGCUAAGGCAGGGUUUCUCUCAGAAAUACAGCGAGCCCUGAAGGAUUUCUAUUGGGAAGAUUUCAACAACUUUUUAGCAAACAAUGUUCACAUAAACCUGAAAUGA